rnacentral:misc_RNA from 1 species
ACAAAGAAGGUCCUGAAGAAGAAACCAAAAAAGGGAUCAAAGAAUGCCAAACCCAUCACAAAAAUUGAGAAUUGUGCUAGUUUCUUCAAUUUCUUUAACACUCCUAAUAUCCCUGAGGAAGAUGAUGACCUAGAUGAUGAUGCUGUUGAGGAAAUCCAGGAUAGAAUGGAACAGGAUUACAAUAUUGGUACUACCAUUCGGGACAAAAUUAUUCCUCAUGCUGUGUCAUGGUUUACGGGGGAGGCUGUUGAUGAUGAAUUAGAUGUAGAAGAUGAUGAUGAUGAUGACGAUGAUGAUGAUGUUGACGAAGAUGAAGAUGAGAAUGAAGAUGAUGAGGAUGAGGAUGACGACAAUGAGGAUGUCAACGAAGGAAAAGGUCGCAGGAAGAAGUCAUCUAGUGGACCUAAGAAAAGUGGAGGAGCACGAAUUGGGGAAAGUCAGCAAAGUGAGCGUGCUCCAGAGUGCAAGCAACAGUAGCUUAGGUUUUGGACCAACCAGUGAUUCGACGCCGGGCAAUGCAGUAUCAAUGGUUGUCCAAGCUGAUGGAAAUUUUGGGGCUUUUGCAU